CUUGUUACAAAUUACUUUCUUUACACUACUGGAACCUAUAAAGUCAUUCUUUCAAAGUCACUGUUUCAGGAUUGAUGAGUAUUUUCAGCUUAUGGGCCAUCUGCAUAUCUUUUUUCUAAAUCCCAUUUC